rnacentral:rRNA from 1 species
GGUUGACCUCGGAUCAGGUAGGGAUACCCGCUGAACUUAAGCAUAUCAAUAAGCGGAGGAAAAGAAACCAACAGGGAUUGCCUCAGUAACGGCGAGUGAAGCGGCAACAGCUCAAAUUUGAAAUCCGGCUCCGUCCGGGGUCUGAGUUGUAAUUUGUAGAGGAUGCUUCGGGCAAGGCCGUGAUCUAAUUCGCUUGGAACAGCGAGUCACAGAGGGUGAGAAUCCCGUCCAGGAUCGCAGGCCGCGUCCGGGUGAAGCUCCUUCGACGAGUCGAGUUGUUUGGGAAUGCAGCUCUAAAUGGGUGGUAAAUUUCAUCUAAAGCUAAAUAUGGGCCAGAGACCGAUAGCGCACAAGUAGAGUGAUCGAAAGAUGAAAAGCACUUUGAAAAGAGAGUUAAACAGUAUGUGAAAUUGUUGAAAGGGAAGCGCUUGCAACCAGACUUGUGAUUGACGGUUCCCCCGGCCUCGUGGCCGGGCUACUCCGUCACGUCCAGGCCAGCAUCGGUUCGGGUGGUCGGUGAAAGAUUCCCGGGAACGUAUCAACCUUCGGGUUGACUUAUAGCCCGGGGUGCCAUGCGGCCCACCCGGACCGAGGAACGCGCUCCGGCUCGGAUGUUGGCGUAAUGGUUGUAAGCGGCCCGUCUUGAAACACGGACCAAGGAGUCUAACAUCUAUGCGAGUGUUUGGGUGUCAAACCCCUACGCGGAAUGAAAGUGAACGGAGGUAAGAACCUCUCGGGGUGCAUUAUCGACCGAUCCUGAUGUCUUCGGAUGGAUUUGAGUAAGAGCAUAGCUGUUGGGACCCGAAAGAUGGUGAACUAUGCAUGAAUAGGGUGAAGCCAGAGGAAACUCUGGUGGAGGCUCGCAGCGGUUCUGACGUGCAAAUCGAUCGUCAAAUUUGUGCAUAGGGGCGAAAGACUAAUCGAACCAUGGUCAAGACCGACCCCGGAAGGGCCUCUGUGGGGUCUGCGCGGUCCGUCAGGUGGUUCUCCACCAGUCCUCCGGGGCAACAUCGUCCUUCUGGCGGGGAUCUCCACCCGCAGCAGCUUCGUGGUGGGCUGUUCACAGACUAGGAGAC